AGAGAAAGUACAGCGAGGCUGAAGAAGACUGUGGAAGUGAAUAGAGAAUUCAUGCAAACCUGUAGACAGCUGCUGCUACUGCUAACAAAAACCCAGGGUACUCCUGUGUACGCACUCAGAAUCUGCUGCUGACGUCUUCAUAAAAGAUCAUCUGAACUUCCAUGAUGGUCCUGAGCUCCGAGGAGGCUGGCUGUUGAGGAAUUUGAUUUGAAAUCUCUUCCACAAUUCACAACAAGAAUAAGCCAGUGUAGUCUGUACCUCCCGCGGUGCAGCGAUUCAGUCUGAUCACUCUCAAUCGCACAGCCUUUUUGCUGCCGAGCAAGGAGGACCUUGUAAAGAGCCGUGUGGUGAUGACGACCAUCAGCCUGUCCAAACACCUCACCCAGCUUGGCCUUGGCCCUGGUUAUUUUACACAUGUCUUGCUGGAUGAAGCUUCUUACGCCACCGAGUGUCAGUUCUGGCUUUAGCGCUGGCUGAUGUAAUCCACACAGGUCGUGCUGGCAGGUGACCCUGUUCAGCUAGCCCCAGUUGUGUACAGCAAGUUUGCCUGGGAACGAAGCCUCCAUGUCUCUUUGAUAGAGCGACUGUCUCAACUUUACCCAUCCGACAGCUGCUGCAGGAUAGAAUUAUCUGCACACUACUGAUCAAAGGAGACUAUCAUAAAUCUUGCCUCUGAGCUGUUUUAUGGAGGAGAUCUGAGAGCAGUUAGUAAACAGUCGGCCCACAAAGACUUCUUUCCACUCUCUUUCUUUGCUGCUUGGGGAAUGGACAAGAACUGCUACAACUACUACAACUUCGCAGAGGUGUUGGAAAUAACUGAGCAGGUAGAAGAGCUCCAUAAGAAGUGGCCGGUAGCCUGGGGCAAGCUUGAUGAGAACAGCAUCAGCGUGGUGACUCCGUAUGCCAGCCAGGCAGUCUGUAUCCCAGCCAAGCUGCACAAACGCAAGCUGCAGGAUGUAACCGUGGAGCAAAUGCUCAACAUCCAAGGCCGUCGCUUCAGGGUGCUGUUUCUGAGUACAGUGCGGACGAGGAACACCUACAAGGAGCCCUCGGCGGUGGUGAAGCGGAAGGACCAGCAGCAGGAGGAGACGGCCGAGGACCUGGAGUACAGAUUCCUGUCCAGCUCCAGGAUGCUCAGCACCGUGCUGCCUCAUACCCAGUCCCUGGUGGCCAUGGUGGGAGACCCCAUGGCACUCUGCACCAUUGGGAAAUGCCGGAAGAUCUGGGAGUGAUUCAUCUCGCUGUGUCGUGAACGCGGCAGCCUCCACGGAGUGGCAAUGCACGACCCAGCUCGAUAACCUGGAGCCGAGCAGGAGCUGUGUGCUUAACUCCCUCGCACCCAAGUUCAUACCCCGGACUCUGCUGCACCCAGCCUUCUCUCGCAGGCUGCAGGCGUCCUUUCCACGUCUUGCUGACACAGCAGCCCUACGGGGCUUGUCGGCAGCCCGGUUUGCUGCUCCUUGUUUUCUUCUGGGCGCCACUCGGUCUUUGGGAAAUUGGCGAGCCCCCUGCAGAGGACUGAACCCUAGGGUAGGAACAACAUUAUGUCUGUCCCUCCUUACUGGAGCCGCUUCGUCAUGCCAGUGCCUGUGAGUAUCUUUGGCCCUUCCCGAUCCCUUCCCUUUCCUUCUGUGUCUGAUCCAAAGCCACAGGUGGCAUAUUUGUUCAUCAGUCCCGAUAACUGUUCCCGUUUUGUACUGAAGACUCCUGGCAGCUUUCCAACCCACAAGGGCAAACAAACUGUAGUCAUAGGACUCGAACAGCGCCUUAGCAAAUUGGUGGCCGUCUGCUGUGACACAGUGUGCAGACCGCACUACAGAUUGUGCAGCAUCUGCUCAGCACUCAGCUGGGCAUUCUGCUUUUGUUUUAACAGUCCACUUUUUUUAAAUGGCCAAUGAAGAGGUGGAAAGAAUGUGAUACAGACAACCACUAGCACUGGGGGCAGAAAAGGUUAAUGUAUGUUAUCUUUUCUAGUGAUCUGUUCUGACAGUAUGUUCAGUGUUCUGCCAGUCGAAUUAGCACAGAGGUCAGGUAAUGUCAUUCUGCUCCUCCCCCCUCCCCCUUUUUAAUUUAUAUGUUUUUUUUCAUAAGCUUUUAAAAUAUUUAACAGCAUGUGUGCUCUGAUGCCUGAACUGUGCACCUCAUUUGUAUUGCAGUGUGCUUCUGAAGCGGAGAGCCAUCCACAUAUAUGGAAAAUCCAAGCCCCCCUCAUCCGCAGAAAGGAUUUCCAUGUCCUUCGGUAGCGUCUAGCACAUGUCUCUUAAUUCCCUGACGUUUGUGGAUUCCGCUGGCUCACGAGGGUCAAGCUAAUUUUUUUUUCCCGGUUCCAGAAAAAAGGCUUGUGACGACUAAACAUAAGAGGGUUAAAAUAACAGUCCUCUCAGCCAGUAUCACCGGCUCCCUGCUUUUCAGCACUGUAUAGCUUUUCCUUCCUUGAUAAUGGCCAUGUUUAAUUCUUCAGAUAAGGAUGGGCCUUCAUGAGGGGUCUACAUUUGUCUUGUUUUUGCCGUUUGGUGUAUGUUUCUAAUACAUUUUGUAUUCAUCCCGGUUCCCCAUUUGAUGUGUGAAAAAUGAGAAAUUAUGAUUUUAACAUUUUCUUGCUUUCAGGUGAGCUUUUCAUAAUCUGUGUUUAAAAGUCGGAUUUGGUAGCUUUCUCCCCUGCUUUGUAUUUUGGAGGGCUUGUCCUGUUGGGUGCGUGUCUCUUGCAAGCCAGUCUACGCCGCCAUCACACCCACAAGCCUCAAUUGCUGUCUAACAUUUUUAAACAACCAGGUUGCUGACAAGCCCGUAAAUGCCAAAUUAGAACUCUGUAAUAUGAAAAAGGAGAUCAUCAUGACCUGCAUCUACUGUAUGCACAUGUACAAAUGCAGGUUUGACAUACAAAUAGAUGGACACGUGCCUCUAUAUACCACCAGAUUCUACUACUCUCAGUAACUUGUGCAGCUGAAGGAUUGUGAUCACUAAAUAGCUUAUACUAAAGGUGUUUAAUCACAGCUGGUUCUUCAGAUGUACACAAAACUGUAAAGCAUAAACUAUAUCUCUUGGCAUGAAUAUGCAUCCCCAGCAAAAAAAGUGGCAUGAAACAAAGUCCAAGUCUUUAAUUUCAUCCUUUUGUUUUCCACACGUGCUGAAGCAGAGGUUCUGUUGGUUUUCCAGUUGCCCUGCUCUGGCUACCAGAACCGCUUACCUUUGGACCCACAGAUCAUGGGCUGUCAGGCAGCUGUGGCCUAUAAUAUCAGCCUGUUCUAGAACCACGGACGCCUCUCUCCCGGACCUCUCUCCCCUCACCAGACAUACCAGUCCUCCAUAGGUGGUAGAGUGGAACACAGCAAAACAGUUUUGUGCAGCCAUCCAUGUAGCAGAGCAGCAAGCAACUGAACCCAUCAUCCUUCUGCAUCAAAAUGAAGCUUCAGCUACAGUGUCGGUGAUUGGGAGCUGUAUCAACCCCCAGCAGGAUCCAGCUGUCACUGAUUUCCCUUCUUUCUGCCAAUCAUGCAGACAGCCCUCGUAGUACAGUUCUUUCGCAGUGGCUUCUGAAGUGGGAAAGUGCUAUUUUUAGAAACAAGUUUCUUAAAACAACAAACUUUCUCUAAGAUUGGCUGACACACUCAUUUAGCACCAACACCCCACCCCCCAAAAAAGGAUUUGAUUAUUUAUUUAUUUAUUUUUUAACCACUUAAGCAUCAACAAAACUAUUGUAGGAAAAGGAAAUCCCGUUUUUGCAUUCUAUUUGUUUUUCCUGUCAGGGUGAGAAGAAAUGCUUCCAGAUUUUGAGACUGUGAAGCUCUGGAAGGUACGUAGUGCAUUUCCAAACAGUAUAUAUUGAAUUCUUUAUUUUAAACAACAAAAUUAUGCCCUUCCAAAGAACAGAUGUAUUCUACAGAAGUAAAGGAAUUUAAUUGCAUAUCUUGCAUAUUUGCUUUUCUUUCAGAAUUUUUUUUUUUUAAACUGACUUGCCAAAACCCCCUUUUGAAGAACGCUCUGAUCUUAAUGGAUUAUUGUCCUGAUUUUAAUAAAGUUUCAUAACAAUAUAACCUUACUGAAUUUUGGAAAACAUGUAAACCUGACACUGUUGUUCUGAAGCAUUUGCAUCAUAGUUUUGUAGGAUACCUCAGUUAAUCUAAUGAUGUUGCAUGCUACUGACCUUCAUAUAAUUUCUGCCAUGUGGUAGGAGUUUCCAACUGUAGACUGCCCUAACAUAAUUAGACAGAACAUAGUU